CGGAGACACCGUCGGUGCUGGGAGGGGCCACCGUGCUCUUCGCUCGGCUCGCACUCCGCUGGUGCCGCUCGGGUGCCUGCCUGCUCUGGGGGAAGGCAAGGUGCGGGGUUGGUGGAGCGCGGAUCGCCGCCUUCUGCCCUUCUCCGCGCGGCAGUGGUUGCGUUUAGCACGAGGAUGUGGAGCGGCAGCUUCCUGCCGAGUAAUUCGGGAGAAGCAGUGCCAAUUCCCAAAUGAUUUCGUUUUUAACUGCUGAUAAAUCACAUCUCUCUAUGUAGCAACCUGGCCCACGGGCUGCAGUCCUUCGAAAUGCAGAGGUUAGAGAAGUGAUGAAAAAUGGGCACAUGCACAGAGUUCCUCUCAGCAGCAGCAGCACUGACGGGAAAGUUACAGUAACUGAUGGAUAAGCGUGAGUUGUCUGUUUCUGAUGCUCUGCCUUUUGCACGUGUAUGGGCAGAUGUGUGAGCACAGUGUGUGUGGCUUCCUCACACAGCAGAGUAGGAGGUAAAUGAAAAUCAAUGUACCUGUGCUCUUCCGAACACCCCACGUUUUCCGAUGAGGCCAAAGGAAGAUGUAGUGAAGCUAACAAGAAUGAGCCGUGGUUCUUCAUUCUUUUAUAGUGAUGUUCAAGAAGGCCGCAAGCAGUAGGUCUGCUGGUCGAGUCUCAGAGACAGAAAUAUUUUUCUUGCAACACAAGCUUUUCAUUCAGCUUGUGUCAUCAUAUUCUGUGAAAUGUGUAGAUGGGGGACGUGGUUAGUGGGCAUGGUGCUGAUGGGUUGAUGAUUGGACUUAAUGGUCUUUCCAACCAUAAUGAUUCCAUGAUCAAAUGCACUAUUACCAAGGUUUAGCUGCUUCCUCUUUUUCCACCUCUGGCACAAGCUGCCAAAAUAGCAAUGCCAGUACCAAAAGAAGCAGCUCACCACCUUUGUGUGCUAAUAAAAAAGGAGCCAGAGAGCAAGAUCAUGCUCUUUGCUCCAUGCUCCAUGGGAUGCUGUACCGUGUAAUGCAGUGUCAAUGAAAGGAAGCACUGUUCCCCAGCAUCCCACGCCAUACGGUUAUCCAUGGUGAGUGGCAAUGCAUUCCCUGCAAUAUUUUUAAACAUGGAAGCAACAAAAUGAAGGAACAACACAAGAUGACCAAAGAUUCUUGUAAAGUCUGGAGAACUAGCAAUGAGCAAUAUGCAUUUAAGACAUUCAAGGCCAGACUGACUGGGGCCUUGGGCAGUCUAAUCUAGUGGGUGGCAACCAGCCAAUGGGAGGGGAAUGGAACUGGCUGAUUCCUUCCAACCCAAUCCAUUCUAAGAUUCUUCAAAUCUGUUAAAACUGUUUUCAUAUAAUAAACACCCUGUUGUGAGCCUUAGAUUUCAAAAGGGCUAAUUGGCUUCUUUGAGUAAUAUCUAUUUUUAGAAAGCACUGUGCAUCCACAUAGCAGAAAGUUCUUGCAAGCUUUCUCAAGUAAGUAUCCAAAGCUGCUAGUUACUAUGUCCCAGUGGACGCAGCUGUUGAGUUAGUUAAAAAAAUAAAUUUAAGCAGAUAUUUCUGUGGUUUCCAUCAAGUCAUACAAAAAGAUCAACGUUAAGAGGAACACCGGUGUUUUCAUACCUGGUAGAAAUGCUGUGCUGCAUAUAGAGGUAAGUAAAACUUGGCAGUUAAGUGUAAUUUUUCUGAAGGUUUAUAAAAAGCAAGAUAAAGUACUCCAUCUACUCCAAGAAGUGUAGUGACAACAAGAUAAAUGGGAGUCUCUCCCAGAUACUGCCACCUCAUGAGCGUUCUCUAAGUGGGAGAUAAAGCAGCAUGGCUGUAUAGGUGCUGAGUUACUAUGGACUAAAAAUAGAAACAGUAAAAUAAUGAAGACUGUUGUUGCUUCACUGGCUGGGAUGGGCUGUGAAAUAAGAAGAAUCCUUCAAGUGAAAUUUGAAAAAUAAAUGUCUGUUAAACUUUACAUUAGAGACCAAAACUCAAGGAGAGUGGCUCACCAAAGGAAACUUUAUCAAAAUAUAAAGCAGAAGAAAACCUUAAGAACUCUCCUGCAUCUCAUCAGCCAAAUCCCAGCUGUGAUGACCAGUUCAAUGCAUUAUACAUAUUCUGUGAAUCACAAAGGAAGCUUCUGCAGUGAGAUACCGAACCACACUGCAGCCUGGAAAGCUUGGCAUCUCCUUGCAGCUGUAGGUGUUCGGCUUUCUGAGCUGGAACAACAAUUCACAACGAGGAGCCAAAUGUUUCAGUGUUGCUGGCCAUUCAGUCAGGGAUCCAUAUAAAAAUCGAAGCCAGUGAGACUCUCCUUUUGCUCAGGGGGAUUAUGUACAUAACGCACUCUAAAAGCAUUUUUUAAAAUAUUCCAUUAGCUCUUUAAUUGAAAAGGGCUUCAGAAAGGGCAUUGUACUUCCUUUUUGCUCCAAGUUCUGGAAAAGGAAGAAAAUCCCUUGUAAAGGAAGAUCACAACUCUGUUUACUUUGAAAUUAACUCUGAAAGCAUUCCUAUAGACACAAAAACAACUGUGCAUUUACCUUCAGCUGUAUCAUAUGUGAAGAUUAGAGUCCCUCCUGAAAACAAAUGAAAUUAAGAAAUAAUCUUAAAAUCAUCAUUGAUUAGCAAGAGAUACGAUAUUAAUCGUUAUCAAAAAUACAUUUGUUGUAUGUAAUUGUCUUGUUAACAUUUCUUCCAUUCUAGCACUCUGAUGUCUCUUGUAGGAAGAAUUCAAACUUUCAGAUGUAUUUCCUUUUGCUUUGGAUCUUUUGCAUCUAUGGAUCUUUGGAUUUUUUGCAUCUACUGAGACCAAAUAAUUCUGGAGGAGAAGCAGUUCUUAAGAACCAGUGAAAAGACUGGUGAACUAAAAGUAAUGCUCAUUUACUACACAUCCAGUUCCUAAAGGUUUCCUAUCUUUAAGUACUCAGACUUUAUUUGUCUAGGAGCAGGCUCAUACCAGGUGCAAACUCUCAGAAGAUAAAAGCUGUGGUGUCUCCCUGUCCAACUGUUCAUAUGAUGCACAGUGAGCUUACAGGGGCAUUAUGUCCCUCCAUUUCAUUUGAGGCUUACAAGUUGGAGGUAGAAAGGCUGAGGAAAGCACUGAAAAAAUGUUCUUAAAAUCAUACAAAAUCUAGCUGAAAAGAAGCUUAUCAUUUUCUUAAAAUACUGUUUUAUGGAUCUUCUAUGCUGCUGCUUUAUUUCAAUUUCUGUAAAACAUACAGUGCCAAAGGAAUUAAGAGAAUGUAAUUUACCAGUGCGAAAUAGGAGUACCUCACAGGUGAACCCAACACUCAUUUUCAAAAUUAGUAUUUUCUCUCAGUGAUUUCAGAGGCCAGCCACAGAACACUCAUGUUUCUAAGGGGCGGACUCUUGUUAUCACUGCUGUCCAAAAGCUGCUGUGAAUAAUAAAAUAUUAUUCAUAACGUCUGAUGUUACCAAACUCCCAGUGCUUCUCAUACAUGUACUUAGUAUGCUUUAUAUAAACAGCAUACUGUUUCAUACUUGCAAAGCAGGAAGAAUAAUUUUAUGGACAGACAAGGAAUAAACUAUGAAGUCCUAGAGUGUUGAUGUAGAUGGGUGACUUUGUAGAUUGACACUGUAAGCCCAGUAGUAUGCGCCAUUACUUCCAACAUUUAUUUGACACCUUCUGUUGCCGUUUUUACCUUGAUACCUCUUCAAUUAUCCUAUCAGCACCUUUGAUUAAAAUGUACAUAUGCAAUGUGAAGACUGU
ensembl:lncRNA